AUAUGGCUCAGGAUGAACGCUAGCUACAGGCUUAACACAUGCAAGUCAGGGGCAGCAGGAUUGUGCUGCACAGAUUGCUGGCGACCGGCGCACGGGUGAGUAACGCGUAUCCAACUUCCCCAUAGUAGAGGAUAGCCCGGCGAAAGUCGGAUUAAUACUCUAUGUUGUACAACGAGGACAUCUGAAUUGUACCAAAGAUUCAUCGCUAUGGGAUGGGGAUGCGUCUGAUUAGGUAGUCGGCGGGGUAACGGCCCACCGAGCCUACGAUCAGUAGGGUUCUGAGAGGAAGGUCCCCCACAUUGGUACUGAGACACGGACCAAACUCCUACGGGAGGCAGCAGUGAGGAAUAUUGGUCAAUGGGCGCGAGCCUGAACCAGCCAAGUAGCGUGCCAGGAUGACUGCCCUAUGGGUUGUAAACUGCUUUUAUGCGGGAAUAAAGUCAGGUACGCGUACCUGUUUGUAUGUACCGCAUGAAUAAGGACCGGCUAAUUCCGUGCCAGCCGCGGC
rnacentral:rRNA from 1 species